ACUAGUAGUAAUCCAAAGGAGACUUGCCUGAUGUACAUUGUAAUCAGUAGAGCAAACAAACCCAAGAGCCAGUGAGCUGAUAUGAGAGCUUUGGAAGGGGAUAUAUAAAAUAUUUUAGUUCAUUGAAGUCAACAAGAAAACUAUGUCUAUGUAUAAAACUAAAAUAAAAGCAGCUUUAAUUGACACCAACUAUCCGGAAAAAUCCAGAUAAAAACAAACAAAGAAUGGUUGCUGAGAGUUCGGGACAGAGGUAAUGGCACAGCAGGAGCAGCAGCAGAGGGAGGAAACAUGACAAUGGUGGAAAAACCAUAAAACCAAAGUGAAGAGAGGAAGAGGUCGAGGACAGAGAAAGAAAGAGUAGGUAGGGAGGGAGAAAAAGAAAGGCAGGACACAGGGAGAAGUAGAUGAAAUGGGAGUGGGUUUGGUUUCAUUCAGAUGAAGAGGAGAAGAGAGAGUGAAAGAAAGGGAUGGGGCAGCAGGAAGAAGAAGAAGAAGAAGAAGAAGAAGAGGAGGAUGAAUGGUUUGUGUUGUGGAGUUCAAGGCAGAGAGAGUCGAUGGAUGGUUAAUAUUAAAUGCGAGAGCGAGGGAGGG
rnacentral:lncRNA from 1 species